rnacentral:rRNA from 1 species
UGUCCUAGUAGCGGCGAGCGAAACGGCUCAGCCCAAACCAUACAGAUGUAAGAUUGCAGUCGUUGUCUGUGUGGGGUGUGGGUUGUUACGGGGAGGUCUGCAUACCUCCAAAUGUCUCGAAGAAGGAAAUAAAACCUUCUGGAAAGUUGGACCAUAGAGCGUAAAAGUCGCGUAUAUGCAACUCCUUCGAGCAUUGUUAACACACCCGAGUACUCCGGGACACGUGGAACCCUGGAGGAAUCUGCGAGGACCAUCUCGCAAGGCUAAAUACUACCUGCCGACCGAUAGUGAACCAGUACCGUGAGGGAAAGGUGAAAAGUACUCCUAACAGGAGAGUGAAACAGUACCUGAAACCGUGCGUCUACAAAUAGUGGUAGUCCUAUGGGUCGCAAGAUCACCGGACAACCGCGUGCCUUUUGUAUAAUGAGUCAGCGAGUUACGCUUCGUGGCAAGGUUAAGUCGACAGACGAAGCCACAGGGGAAACCGAGUCUGAACAGGGCGUUCAGUCGCGGGGCGUAGACCCG